UACAGAGGGUGCGAGCGUUGUUCGGAAUUAUUGGGCGUAAAGGGCGCGUAGGCGGCGCGGUAAGUCACCUGUGAAAUCUCCUGGCUCAACUGGGAGCUUGCAGGCGAAACUGCCGUGCUGGAGUGUGGGAGAGGUGCGUGGAAUUCCCCGGUGUAGCGGUGAAAUGCGUAGAUAUCGGGGAGGAACACCUGUGGCGAAAAGCGGCGCACUGGACCACAACUGACGCUGAGGCGCGAAAGCUAGGGGAGCAAACAGG
rnacentral:rRNA from 1 species